rnacentral:lncRNA from 1 species
CGUCAUUCCAACCAACAUUACAAACUAUUUAAGUACUAUAAUUUUUUGCAAUUCUAAAUUGUGCAUUAUACAUGAUUAAAGUCUGAUACUUGGGAGACGCUACUAAUAACCUUGAACAUAUGAGAAUGUAAUGAGAACAUCUCCACAACUCCAUGUAGCUGGCAAGUGUACAAUUAAGUUCAAGUUUGAUCAAGAACAAAUAGGACCUCCUUAUAUAAAGAACAUCUGCUGUAGGAUCAAUUGAACCGAUGAUAUCUAUAACCCGUGUCACUAGAUUUUGGCAACCCUCAAACUAGACAGUGAACUUCAGACACUCCAACGGAAAGUACUAGCAAAUAGCGAUCAAUGAAACAUUAUCGACUGCAGUAUCCAUGAACUGCAAGCGCAUAAAAACAAUAGCGACAGUGCCACAAUGUGCAUCAUUAAAGUAAAAGGGCUAUUUUCACAUUCCCGAAUGUACUUCUGAAUGUCUAACUGAGAAAUUCAUACUAGCUAGGAGGAAGGGGAGAGCAGCAACAUCUUAUUUGUUAUUUGGCCAAAUACUCUUUUUGAGUGCAUUUAUACUACUAUCUACAUUCACCACUUUGAUAUUAGUUCGAAAAUGCUCAGGAAAUGAAACUACCAACCCCAUCUUCAGGGAUCAAACAUAUUUUUUUAAAUUAGACCACAAAACUUUCAAUAUACCACCUCUUAUCUAAUUUCUCACGAGAACAAACUUGAACGCGGCUUGUUUUUACAUACAAAAAAAAAAUGUGUUAUCGAUGUCUUCCUUAGCCCACAUUAACCAAGGGAUAAUGGGAAAUAACGUGUGCAAUUUCUGGUGACCAACUGAUGGUUUUAUUAUACUAUUAUGCUAUUUCAUUCUCCGAAAAUACCUUUUGCAAUAGAAAUCGACUAAAGACUUAAUUUAAGAGAAUUCCUGUGAAGUGGAUCAAGUCAAUGAUGAUACUUCUUUUAGCAUUGGGUAGGGGAGAUAAAACAAGACCCAAAAUGAGAAAGAGAGACUGCUUCUUCUCAUUUGCAUAGAUUAUUUUACUUCUGACCAAACAAAGAAUCUCCAAGAACAUCCUCAACAAGUCCAGUGUCACGACCCAAAUUCGGGAUCGUGAUGACACCUAUCCCCUCCGCGAUAGGUAAGCCAAAAACUCAAUUCCAAGAACAACAUCUCAAACUCAUAGAAACGGGAGAAAAUAGAACAUAACUUAUUCCGAAUAAUCUCAUAAGUAGAUACAUAGUCUAGUAAAAUCAAUUCGUAGAUGAUCCCAGGUCUGGAAGUCACUAAUACAAGUCAAUAAAAUAUAGAACCCAAAGAAAAUUCGAGUCUUUCAAAAUGCGAAAAUUGCAUAAGAAUAAAGCUGAAGGAGAUUUCAGUAGUCGUUGAAACCAGUAGCAGUUACCUCGAAUCUCCGAUGAUGCUAGCAACGAAGGAACCACAAGAAUCAAUAUCCAGAGGUCGUCGGAUCUGUACCUGCACGUAAGGUGCAGAAAAAGCAAGAGUGAGUACGGAACCACGUGUACUCAGCAAUCAUCGUCGACCGACCCUAAUUCAAAGUGGUGACGAGUGACACCACAUAGAACAUUUAAACACAAAUAUACAAUCUGCACUCAGGAAGGCCACAUUAAUCAAACAGAAUAGUCCAGUUUAACAGUCAUAAAGAUAUCAUAACAUAAUCCAAGAAUUUCUCAAUUAGGCAAAAUAUAUAAUAAUUACAAGGUCACAAUCCACUUUAACCAUUUCGAAGCAAAUAAAACAAUGCAAUGCGAUGCAAUGAAAUGCAAAUAUAUAUACUGUGCAGGUGUGCACUCCGAUCCUAUAAAUAUAUAUAUAAUAUUGUGCAGGCGUGCACUCCGACCCCAUAAAUAUAUAUAAUAUACUGUGCAGGCGUGCACUCCGAUCCCAUAAAUAUAUAUAAUAUAUUGUGCAGGCGUACACUCCGAUCCAAUAUGAAAUGUAAUGCAUGAUGUACAAGCAUGCAACUCCGAUCCCAAGUCAAAUCAGACAUCUAUUUCAAAGUUAAUUUAUCAAGUGAGAGUAUCAUCAUUAACUAGCUUUUUCAAUAAUCACCAUAAUAAUCAGUACAUCAGCUAGCAUAUAGGGAAAACAGUUCAAAACAUAUAAUUAACUUAUUUUAUCCCUUCAAGUGACAUCGGUACCCGCACAGAUGCUCGUCACAAUCAUUCAUACAGGACCCCCAAAUUCUCAUUACUCCCAUUACACAUAACUAACAAAUAUUCAAGUAAGCACGUUGAAAAAGAGUCUAAGGAAAGUCUCAACUUGCCUCAAACCGAAGCCAAGCGUCAAUUUACAAACUUCCCCUUUCGUAAAGCUUCUGAAUGAUUAAGAUCUGUCCAUAUAUAUAUUUUUCGUAAAAAUACAAUUUUAAUAUCACCUAUUUUAUAAAUUCUUACUUUAAAAAUUCUAGAGCUAAAACCUAAAUUUAUUGAAGUAGUGACUAAACAAAAUAUGGUGAUCUAAGACUAAGAAAAUAUAAUAAAAAACGAUGAUUGCAGUACUACUUUUACACGUAGAAUUCCCUUAAUCCUAUAUCUAUUGAAGGAAAGAAUAGGAAAAAGCACGAGAAUUUCUGAAAUUGAGGCAAAAUAGAAAACAUUAGAUUAUAAUUUAUUUUAACAACAAUUACUGGAGUCAUGUGAAUCACUGACAGCAACACCUAAAUCUUAUUACUAUUUCCUUGGAAUCUAAUCAUUAGCAUAUUAUAUUAUUAUUCUUUAACUUAGCAAAACAAUAAAACAAAAUAAUGGUAUAACCAAGACUUUCCACAAUUACUAAUGGUUUUAACACCAGUAGGAACAAAAUAAAAACAAGAAACGUUGGAAGCAAUAUUGCAACUGGACGGUAGUAAUGAAAUUUGGCAAAUUUCUUUUCUGUUUCUAUUCAACGUUAAAAGUACCAAGAAGCCUUUCACAAUCGGUUCAUGAGAUUUACACUAUCUCGAAAUAAUAAUAAACAGGCCACCCUAUAUAUGUAUAACAACUCAAAAUACUUCUAACCUGAAGUUUAGCCAAGAGAUCUACUUACGCAGAUGAGGAAGAUAAUACCGCUAACUGUCGUGCCCUCUUCUGUAAGUGCUAACUUCGUCUUGCUCAAUUCAUCACUCUCUUUCUCGAUCUCUCCCUAUCCCGUGUGUAUGUGUGCUUGAAAGAUGGAAGAUUAACUAUGUGGGUUGGUUGUUGGUGUGUUGCUGUGAAUAUAUGGUAGAAGAUGAGAGUGAUGAGAGUAUAUAUCUUGUAAAAAAAGAGAAUAAAAAAAAAACAGAAUCAGUGGUGUGUGAAUAACGACGUCUGCAUAUUGAUGGUAAAGUGGGAGUAUUAUUGUGAGUGGAAUCUUUGUGGAAGAUGAGGUGUGUGUUUCCAUUAAGUAGGGCGAUUACAUCAUCCACCACUAAAACAAGCGUUCAUCCUCGAACGUAAAGAAAUGGAAGGUACCUGGGCUCUCAAAAGGAUAAGGGUAUCUACUCCGUAUGUUGGACUCAACCUCCCAAGUGGAUUCAGCAACUGGACGAUGCCUCCACUGCACCUUCACAGAGGCUAUCUCCUUGGAUCGUAACUUUCUAACCUGCCUAUCUUAGAUAGCUAUAGGUUUUUCCUCAAAAGUCAAAUUCUUGUCCAGACUCACUGAGUCCCACUGAAUUACAUGCGAAUCAUCUGGAUAGUACCUCUUCAACAUAGAAACAUGAAAGACUGGAUGUACAGCUGAAAUACCUGGUGGUAAAGCCAACUCAUAAGAAAUUGGACCAACACGCCGAAGAAUCUCAAAAGGGCCAAUAAACCUCGGACUAAGCUUUCCUUUCUUUCCAAAGCUCGUCACACCCUUCAUGGGUGAUACCUUCAACAAUACUCGCUCACCCUGCAUGAAUUCCAAGUCACGGACUCUUCUGCCAGCAUAACUCUUCUGUCUACUCUGAGCCGCCAAAAGCCACUCCUGGAUCAAUCUAACUCGGUCCAUGGAAUCUCUCAACAAAUCAGUACCCCAAGGUCUAACUUCAAAAGAAUCAAACCAUCCAACUGGAGACCUACACUUCCUACCAUACAAAGCCUCGAAUUGAGCCAUCUGAAUACUAGAGUGGUAGCUAUUAUUAUAAGAGAACUCCACUAAGGGAAGAAACUGAUCCCAAUGACCCCCAAAAUCCAUCACACAAGCUCAUAACAUGUCCUCUAACACUUGAAUAGUCCGCUCUGACUGACCAUCUGUUUGGGGAUGAAAUGUUCAUGUCCAACUGAGUACCCAACUCCCGCUGCAAAGUAUGCCAAAAGUUUGAAGUGAACUGAGUACCUCUAUCUGAAAUGAUGGAAACAGGCACGCCAUGCAAUCGAACUAUCUCACGAAUGUAAAUCUUAGUUAAUUUCUCCACAUUAUAGCUCAUUUUCACUGGCACAAAAUGGGCUGAUUUGGUCAAUCUGUCCACAAUCACCCAAUAGAAUCAAACUUCCCCAAUGUUUGAGGCAACCCAACUACAAAAUCCAUAGUGAUACGCUCCCACUUCCACUCCAGAAUGGGCAUCCUUUGAAGCAAACCACCUGGCCUCCUGUGUUCAUGUUUCACCUACUGGCAAUUCAAACACUUAGCCACAAACUCUGCAACAUCUCUCUUCAUCCCACACCACCAGUAAUGUUACUUAAGGUCAUGAUACAUUUUCACCGCACCUGGAUGAAUGGAAUAGUGAGAACAAUGGGCCUCCUCCAUAAUAAAUCUAGUUAAGUCACCCACUCUAGGAACACAUAUCCGCCCUUUAAUCCUCAAUACACCCUCCUGAUCCAAAAUCGCCUCCUUAGCCUUACCUCGCAUCACCUUAUCUCUGAUAAUACACAACUUUUUGUCCUCGAACUGACGAUCUCGAAUCUUCUCUAACAACGAGGACCUCGCCUCCACAUAUGCCAAAACUCUACUUAAUUCAGAAAUAUCAAGACGUACAAAACUGUUGGCCAACCGUUGAACCUGCCUGGCUAAUGGCCACUCCUCCACACUCAACAAUUCAAGACUACCCAUGCUAACUGCUUUCCAACUCAAGGCAUCUGCUACUACGUUGGCCUUGCCCGGAUGAUACAGGAUAGUCAUAUCAUAAUCUUUCAACAACUCCAUCCACCUAUGCUGUCUCAAAUUCAACUCCUUCUGCUUGAAAAUAUACUGAAGGCUGCGAUGAUCAGUGUAUACCUCACAAUGAACCCCGUACAAAUAGUGUCGCCACAACUUCAAUACGAACACAACUGCUAGUAACUCUAAAUCAUGAGUAGGAUAAUUCUUCUCAUGUGGCUUCAACUGCCUCAAAGCAUACGCUACCACCUUAUUUUUCUACAUCAACACAUCACCCAAGCCAAUACCGAAAGCAUCACAAAACACGGUGAAACCCUCGCCUUCAAUGGGUAGGGUCAAGAUAGGAGCUGAAGUCAACAAAGUCUUGAGCUUUUGAAAGCUCUCUUCGCACUUAUCUGACCACUGAAAAGCCACAUUUUUCUGAGUCAAUCGAGUCAUAGGAGCUGCAAUAGAAGAAAAACCCUACACAAAUCGCCUAUAAUAGCCUGCCAACCCAAGAAAACUCCAAAUAUCUGAAGCUAAAGUAGGUCGUGACCAAUCCCUAACUGCCUCAACCUUGGCCAGAUCGACCAUAAUACCAUUCUUAGACACCACGUGUCCCAAGAAUGCCACAGAACUGAGCCAAAAUUCAUACUUUGAAAACUUGGCAUAUAACUUCUCGUCCCUCAAUCUCUGGAGUACAAUCCUUAACUGUUUUUCAUAAUCUGCAUGACUCUUAGAAUACACCAAAAUUUCAUCGAUGAACACAAUCACAAAAAAAUCAAGAUAAGGCCGAAACACCCUGUUCAUCAACUCCAUGAAUGCUGCUGGAGCAUUAGUCAAGCCAAAAGACAUAACUAAGAACUCAUAAUGACUGUAUCUGGUCCAAAAAGCAGUCUUAGGAAUGUCCGAAACUCAAAUCUUCAAUUGAUGAUACCCCGAUCUCAAAUCGAUCUUCGAAAACACAGAAGCACCCUGAAGCUGAUCAAACAAAUCAUCAAUAGGCGAAAGAGGAUAUUUAUUCUUGAUUGUCACUUUGUUCAACUGCCGAUAAUCAAUGCACAUUCUCAUAGACCUAUCUUUCUUCUUCACAAAUAACACCGGAGCACCCCAAGGUGACACACUUGGUCGAAUAAAUCCCUUGCUUAACAAGUCCUGAAGCUGAUCUUUUAAUUCUUUCAGCUCAGUUGGCGCCAUCCUAUAAGGAGGAAUAGAAAUGGGCUUAGUACCCGGCUCCAGAUCAAAGCGAAGUUAAUAUCUCUAUUAGGAGGAACACCCGGAAGAUCAGUUGGAAAUACAUCUAUGAACUCUCUAACCACCUUCACGGACUCUAAAGAAGGUGUCUCAGUACCAGUAUCACGAACAUAAGCUUAAUAUGAUAGACAACCCUUCUCAACUAACUGUUGAGCCUGAAUGAAUGAAAUCACCUUCUUAGGAUACGAACUUCGAACACCGCUCCACUCUAAUCUAGGGAGAUCAAGCAUUGUUAAUGUAACUGUCUUGGCAUGACAGUCCAAGAUAGCAUGAUAAGGAGAAAGUCAAUCCAUGCCUAAAAUUACAUCAAAGUAGACCAUAUCUAGGAGAAUUAAAUCUACCCAGGUAUUACGCCCCAAAAUAGAAACAAUGCAAGACUGGUACACCCGAUCCACCACUAAGUAUCACCUACUGGAGUAGAAACACGAAUAGGUACAGCCAUAGACUCACAACUCAUAUCAAAGCUGGAAGCGAAGUAUGCAGACACAUAGAAGAAAGUGGAACCAGGAUCAAAUAAUACUGAAGCUGGUCGAUGACAAACAGAGACGAUACCUUUAAUGACAGCAUCAAAAGACUCUACCUCGGUCUUCCCUGGAAAGGCAUAACACUGAGCUCGGUUAUCUAUCGGCUGAGUCACUCCUCUACCACCUCCCCUACUGGCUGGUGGUGUACCUCUACCUCCCUGAGGUCUGCCUCUACCCCUAACUGGGGGCACUGCUGCUCUAAUAGGAGCCUGAUAACUCUGUUGUGGACAUCUCUGCCUGUAUGCCUGUAUGCUGGACAAUCUUUCCGAAAAUAAUCCGGACUACCACACUCAUGACAAGUCUUCGGAGCCAUCAACUGUCGAGAAGGACCUGUAUCCGGUAUGACCGCCACGACCGAAAAAUCGCUGAGAUAAACCCUGUGAAACCUGUCCCGAACCAUAAGAACUCCGGCCUUAAUAUCCGCCUUCUGUUGUUUGCAUUACUGCCUGAAUUGGCCUAUUAUACUGAGGGCUCAAAUCUCUUCGAAAAGAACCCCUACCUACAGAUGAGGUACCGCUGAAUCGACCUACAGUACGGGACCUCUUGUCCCUCAGAUCCCCAUAAAUCUCACGAUGCAUCAACUCAAACUCCUUUGCCGAUUCGACCACCCUCUGAAGAGAAGCCCCAAAUUGGGCUAUAGCAAAUACAGCCUCUCUGAUCCUAAGUUUCAAACCCCUCAUAAACUUUCUGAUCAUCUCGACCUCGUCUGGUAAGAUCACCAUAGCAUAAUGGGCUAAGGAAUAAAAUAGUCUCUCGUACUCAGCCACAGAAAUGCCCUCCUGCGUCAAAUUCUCAAACUGAUGUCUGCGCUCCUCCCUUAAGCUACGAGGAACGAAUCUAUCGAGGAAGGCCUGUGCAAAUAUAGCCCAUGUCAUCGGUGGAGAACCUACAGGCCUCGUGUCAAUAUAAGAACGCCACCACUGCUUGGCAGGACCACGCAUCUAUAAAGCAGUAUAAGUAACUCCAUGGGAGUCAACCAAUCCUACACUUUGUAAUCUCUCAUGGAAACUGACUAGAAACUCGUAGACAUCCUUACGUAGAUCCCCCUAAAACUUUGGUGGAUCCAUCUUUCUAAACUUCUCAAACCGUUGCUACUCCAUAUCAUACAUAUGCAUCAUACCUCCACCGGUAGCCACAACCACUGGUAACGGCAUGCCAUCAUACCUUGGUACUGGCUGGACCACUGGACCCUGAUAGAUCGAAAUAGGCUGUUGGUCUGGGGUCUGCACCCUCACCUUAACUUGUGAACCCUACGGACUACUAAGAGAUCCGCUUCCCUAAACUAUAGUCUCCAAAACACCCAACAUUUUAUCCAAGGUAUUCUGAAAAUAUGAUGCGGCAACAAACCCUGGUGGUGCCUGACUUGAGCCCGCAUCAUCAGCUAGAACUUGAACACCAUCGUCGCAUGCAACAAACUCAGCCUCGGGAGCAGCUCCUCGAGCUCCUUCUCUAUCACGACCUCCGUCUCUACCGCGUCUCCUACCCCAUCCAGAUAUCCUCUCUCGAGUAAUUAGCUCAAGGGCUGGUGAGGGUGCCUGACCACGAUCCUAAGGUACACGAGUCCUCACCAUCUGUGAAAGAAUAAGACAAGAAUUUUAGUAUUUAAAGUUAAAAGAUAAAUACCGCACGAUAAGAGAGAAUAAAAUGAAUGUUUCCUAAAGUCCUAUAGCCUCUCGAAGAUAAGUAACAGACGUCUCCGCACCAAUCCACAAGCCUCUACUAGACUCGGCUCGUAUUUGAGAGACCAAUAAACCUGAGCGCUCUAAUACCAUCUUGUCACGACUCGAAUUCGGGAUCGUGAUCGCACCUAUUCCAUCCUCCGUGAUAGGCAAGGCAAAAACUCAAUUCCAAGAACAACAUCUCAAACUCAUAGAAACGGGAGAAAAUAAAACAUAAUUUAUUCUGAAUAAUCUCAUAAGUAGAUACAUAGUCUAGUAAAUCAAUUCAUAGAUGAUCCCAGGUCUGGAAGUCACUAAUACAAGCCAAUAAAAUAUAGAACCCAAAGAAAAUUUGAGUCUUUCAAAAUGCGAAAAAUGCAAAAGAAUAGCUGAAGGAGAUUUCAGUAGUCGCUGAAACCAGUAGCAGCUACCUCGAAUCUCCGAUGAUGCUAGCAACGAAGGAACCACAAGAAUCAAUAUCCAGAGAUCGUCGGAUUUGUACCUGCACGUAGGGUGCAGAAAAAGCAAGAAUGAGUACGAAACCACGUGUACUCAGCAAGCAUCGUCGAUCGACCCUAAUUCAAAGUGGUGACGAGUGACACCACAUAGAAAAUUUAAACACAAAUAUACAACCAGCGCUCAGGAAGGCUACAUUAAUCAAACAGAAUAGUCCAGUUUAACAGUCAUAAAAAUAUCAUAACAUAAUCCAAGAAUUUCUCAAUUAGGUAAAAUAUACAAUAAUUACAAGGUCAGAAUCCACUUUAACCAUUCUGAAGCAAAUAAAACAAUGCAAUGAGAUGCAAUGAAAUGCAAAUAUAUAUACUAUGCAGGCGAGCACUCCGAUCCCAUAAAUAUAUAUAAUACUGUGCAAACGUGCACUCCAAUCCCAUAAAUAUAUGUAAUAUACUGUGUAGGCGUGCACUCCGAUCCUAUAAAUAUAUAUAAUAUACUGUGCAGGCGUGCACUCCGACCCCAUAAAUAUAUAUAAUAUACUGUGCAGGCGUGCACUUUGAUCCCACAAAUAUAUAAUGUACUGUGCAGGCGUGCACUCCGACCCCAUAAAUAUAUAUAAUAUAUUGUGCAGGCGUGCACUCUGAUCCCAUAAAUAUAUAUAUAAUAUACUGUGCAGGCGUGCACUCCGAUCCCAUAAAUAUAUAUAAUAUACUGUGCAGGCGUGCACUCCGACCCCAUAAAUAUAUAUAAUAUAUUGUGCAGGCCUGCACUCCGAUCCCAUAAAUAUAUAUAAUAUACUGUGCAGGCGUGCACUCCAAUCCCAUAAAUAUAUAUAAUAUACUAUGCAGGCGUGCACUCCGACCCCAUAAAUAUAUAUAAUAUAUUGUCCAGGCCUGCACUCCGAUCCCAUAAAUAUAUAUAAUAUACUGUGCAGACGUGCACUCCGACCCCCAUAAAUAGAAAACAUUAGAUUAUAAUUUAUUUUAACAACAAUUACUGGAGUCAUGUGAAUCACUGACAGCAACACCUAAAUCUUAUUACUAUUUCCUUGGAAUCUAAUCAUUAGCAUAUUAUAUUAUUAUUCUUUAACUUAGCAAAACAAUAAAACAAAAUAAUGGUAUAACCAAGACUUUCCACAAUUACUAAUGGUUUUAACACCAGUAGGAACAAAAUAAAAACAAGAAACGUUGGAAGCAAUAUUGCAACUGGACGGUAGUAAUGAAAUUUGGCAAAUUUCUUUUCUGUUUCUAUUCAACGUUAAAAGUACCAAGAAGCCUUUCACAAUCGGUUCAUGAGAUUUACACUAUCUUGAAAUAAUAAUAAACAGGCCACCCUAUAUAUGUAUAACAACUCAAAAUACUUCUAACCUGAAGUUUAGCCGAGAUAUCUACUUCGAAUACGCAGAUGAGGAAGAUAAUACCGCUAACUGUCGUGCCCUCUUCUGUAAGUGCUAACUUCUUCUUGCUCAAUUCAUCACUCUCUUUCUCGAUCGCUCCCUAUCCCGUGUGUAUGUGUGCUUGAAAGAUGGAAAAUUAACUAUGUGGGUUGGUUGUUGGUGUGUUGCUGUGAAUAUAUGGUAGAAGAUGAGAGUAUAUAUCUUAUAAAAAAACAGAAUCAGUGGUGUGUGAAUAAUGACGUCUGCAUAUUGAUGGUAAAGUGGGAGUAUUAUUGUGAGUGGAAUCUUUGUGGAAGAUGAGGUGUGUGUUUCCAUUAAGUAGGGCCAUUACAUCCAGUCAAUGCAAUAUUCAUAAGAAUUACCAUUACAAGCACUAAUAAGCAAAAGAGAAGAUGGGAUUAACCACUUCUUUCUCAGCAAUGAAAUCGCUCUGGUUGAUUCUCUGAGAAACUGAAAUAACUAAGCCGGCAGUUUCCGUAAUAAUUUUGAAACUUAAAUACUGGUGAGCAAUAGAUAAGACUAAUAAGAGUAAAAUAAAAGAUUUCCUCAACCAUGCAUGAGCAAACACUAAAUAAAUGAUUUAGGAGAGAUCAAGCUUCAUGUAAAAGCAAAUCCACCCCGAAUGGAAUAACACAUUCCAAAUGACCCUCUGGAUGUCCAAAAUGAAUGUGUUGGUUUACCCAGCAAAUUGGUGGACAAGAAUAGCACUUCACCGUCCGCAAACCUAUAUUUUGGUACGGCCCUCAAAAUGUCCGAAGCAUCUAUAACAAACAAUGCAAUCCAAGAUUCACCAACCCCAUAGUCUUUCAAUACCCAUAACUUAAAUGUGCGCUUCCUCUGAUGCUCACAAAUAGAAUGAGCACAAAGCAUUCCGUCCAAUUCAGAAAUGCCAAUACCGAUGACGCAAUCCAAGUGUAAAUAAUUGCAUUCACCGACACCAUAGUCUUUCAAUACCCAUAACUUGAAUGUGCGCUUCCUCUGAUGCUCACAAAUAGAAUAAGCACAAAGCAUUCCGUCCAAUUCAGAAACGCCAAUACCGAUGUUGCCCCCCAAGCGUAAUAAUUGCCCUGGCAAUGGUAUGUCUGCAUACACUUCUUUUGAAAUACUAAAUGAAACCAAAGAGAAAGCUCUUGAAUCGUCGAAAUAGUUUCCAGAGAUACAGACCCAAUGAAAUGCAUCGUUUACUAAUGCCAAAGCAGAACCCGAACAAUGCAGUAAAUUCUCAAUUCCACGUGGAUGGUUAUCAAUAGUUCUCCAGGAACCACUUUUCAACGAGAAAAUUUCACCAGGUACUUUGCUACCAUGCCUGCCACUGUGAAUAUUUAGGAUCUUAUAGUCACCACUAGUUGAGUCAUAACCCAAUCCUAAAGAAUAACCAGUCUGUACUAGAUAACAGCCAAGCCAUUAUAAGUACAAUGGAUUAUGGCUAUAGAGCUUGAAGGGGAAUCAAGUUUUUGUAUUUUGUUAACCAGUUGAAGGGAGGAUGAUUAAGGACAAGAAUAGAUGGAAGUUGAAGGAUCCGUAAGGGAACGUUGGUAAAUAAGAAGUUUUUGGGAAUGUGGAUCAUUCUUGGCACGAUCGAGAUGCUUGUUGACAAAGUAAGGAUCAGAUAUUAAUGCAUUCCACAAUUUAGAAACACAUUUGAAUUGAACAAGAUCGCGGAUGGGUAACCUGUAGAGGAUCUCCAUAAUUAUGUCGUCCUGGAAAGGGCAAUUAAAAUGACAAGUGGCCUCAGCAACAUCCAUAAGCUCCAUAAUGCACUUGCCU